CCUACGGGAGGCAGCAGUGGGGAAUAUUGCACAAUGGGGGAAACCCUGAUGCAGCGACGCCGCGUGAGCGAUGAAGUAUUACGGUAUGUAAAGCUCUAUCAGCAGGGAAGAAAAUGACGGUACCUGACUAAGAAGCCACGGCUAACUACGUGCCAGCAGCCGCGUUAAUACGGAGGGGGCAAGCGUUAUCCGGAUUUACUGGGUGUAAGGGGAGCGUAGACGGCGGUGCAGGCCAGAUGUGAAAGCCCGGGGCUCAACCCCGGGACUGCAUUUGGAACUGUGCUGCUGGAGUGUCGGAGAGGCAGGCGGAAUUCCUGGUGUAGCGGUGAAAUGCGUAGAUAUUAGGAGGAACACCAGUGGCGAAGGCAGCCUGCUGGACGAUGACUGACGUUGAGGCACGAAAGCGUGGGGAUCAAACAGGAUUAGAUACCCCAGUAGUC
rnacentral:rRNA from 1 species